rnacentral:rRNA from 1 species
GACGAACGCUGGCGGCGUGCUUAACACAUGCAAGUCGAACGGUGAACGAGGGAGCUUGCUCCCUCCGGAUCAGUGGCGAACGGGUGAGUAACACGUGAGCAAUCUGCCCCGAACUCUGGGAUAAGCGUUGGAAACGACGUCUAAUACCGGAUACGACGCGGGAGGGCAUCCUCUCCGCGUGGAAAGAACUUCGGUUCGGGAUGAGCUCGCGGCCUUUCAGCUUGUUGGUGAGGUAACGGCUCACCAAGGCGACGACGGGGAGCCGGCCUGAGAGGGUGACCGGCCACACUGGGACUGAGACACGGCCCAGACUCCUACGGGAGGCAGCAGUGGGGAAUAUUGCACAAUGGGCGCAAGCCUGAUGCAGCAACGCCGCGUGAGGGACGACGGCCUUCGGGUUGUAAACCUCUUUUAGCAGGGAAGAAGCGAAAGUGACGGUACCUGCAGAAAAAGCACCGGCUAACUACGUG